rnacentral:rRNA from 1 species
AGAACGAACGCUGGCGGCAUGCCUAAUACAUGCAAGUCGAACGAGAUCUUCGGGUCUAGUGGCGCACGGGUGCGUAACGCGUGGGAAUCUACCCUUGGGUUCGGAAUAACAGUUGGAAACGACUGCUAAUACCGGAUGAUGACGAAAGUCCAAAGAUUUAUCGCCCAAGGAUGAGCCCGCGUAGGAUUAGCUAGUUGGUGAGGUAAAGGCUCACCAAGGCUACGAUCCUUAGCUGGUCUGAGAGGAUGAUCAGCCACACUGGGACUGAGACACGGCCCAGACUCCUACGGGAGGCAGCAGUAGGGAAUAUUGGACAAUGGGGGCAACCCUGAUCCAGCAAUGCCGCGUGAGUGAUGAAGGCCUUAGGUUGUAAAGCUCUUUUACCCGAGAUGAUAAUGACAGUAUCGGAGAAUAAGCUCCGGCUAACUCCGUGCCAGCAGCCGC